AUUUUCUUUUGAUAGUGGCUUUUAAGAUUGGUUUUGGUUGAUAGUAAUUUCUAAAUAUUUAGAGUCACCUUUGUUAGACAUUGGUGACCUUUGGAAACUUAUUUUGGUUCUUUUAUUUGGUGUUUAGAGUAUGAAUUAUGUAAAUCUUAUAAGAAAAAAGAUUGAAUAAGGAUUUUGGUAGCAAAGAGACUAAUUAGGGCACCAAUAUAUACGAAUGGAGAUGAAUGAUGAAAAUCUCUAUUCCUAUUGAUCAAAAAUCAUGACCAAUGGACUUUGAGGAGGCUGCCCGAGGCCAUAUUAGGAAUUAGGGUUAGUUUCUCAAGACCGUUUGAGCUUUGAAGGCUAGGAUCAGCAAGCUUAGGUUUUUGACUAUGGCUUUGGUGCAAGUUUUGUAUAGUUUGGAGUUUAUAUGAAGGAGAUAUAGGCGCUCAAAGUUAAGGUGUUGAUUUGGAAGCUACUGUCACUCUUCUUGGCAUAACGCACGCGUACGGAUAGAAAUUAAGGAUCG
rnacentral:lncRNA from 1 species